UCGCUCUCCAGGCCAGGCUGCUGAGGAGCCCUGCGAAAUCUGCUCUUGCUGCAGGAGAUGGGCACCGUGCCCUCCCGGGGCUGGCUGCGUCUCUGGCUCCCAGCGCCGAGCUGAUAAAGACCAUCUGCUCUGCAGCCAGGAGACACACACGGCUCGCAUCGAGCGAGCGCUACAUCCAGGCGAGCUAAACGAUCUCUGGUUUAGCCUCUUCUUUGGUGCUAACCCACAGGUCUGCUCAUUUCAGGCAGGAAUGUAUGGCCAUAGCUCCAUUACCCUGUUCAUCCCAAAGCAGUAUCAUGCAGAUGCCAGCUAGCACCAUCUCCCCACUCCCCACCAUUCAAAAGACCACCCAGGACACUCUGGUUUCUCUCUAUGGCUUCCACGAUGAACACCCAUAAUUGCUCAGCUCUGAAAAUUCCAUUGUUAUGGACUUUAGUACUGCUUUAAAGGCUCUUUGUUCAUCGAGACAGCAGCUACCAGUGAGUCUUACCCCCUUUUAUCCUCUCUUGCUAUAAUCAACCAAACCUGGUGGCCAAAGGCCCUGCUGUCUCCGAAGCACCUUGCAUUUAGCUAAGAGGAAGCAGCAGUUUCCCAGCUGGAAUGCAAGCACCUGCCUCUUGAAGCUCAGUAAUCCCCCUAAUUGGCUCCUCCUCUCCAUUUUCUCUCUAAAUACGUAUUCUGCAGAGUGAAAAGAAGUGCUGCCACCUGCUACCACGGAGGGUUGGGGGUUUUUGCAUUAUUCCCAGUGGGUUUCUUCCACAUAUUUAUCCUGGGCAGAGAAGCUGUUCCCCCUCCAGGUUUGUUCUCCACAAGUGUCAUCUAAUGGGUUUCCACCCUUGAAGGAGGGACACAUGGGGGUCUCAGAGCUGCUUCCUGAACAGACCUGCAGCUGCCAGCACGUUUGGGAUUUGAGAAGCCUUUAAUUAUCCCCCUUUCAUUCUGUGGGUUCAGUGCUGCCUCUGAGCAGAAAAUAGGUUCUUUUUAGCAGGUUGCUGCAAGAGAUCUCUUGGAAAUAGGAUUUAACUCAUGAACUGACAUAGGAGCGUUUGUGUUACUGAUUAUGCAAACAGAAGAAAAGGGGAAAAAAAGUAUGAGCACGUUCUUCAGAAAUUCCACAUGCCUCCUGGAAGCUUUUAAAUGAAAAGGUGGAAGCUCAUCAAAUGUGUCCACAGGACAGGAAGAGCAGGGAGUAGAAAAUAAACCUCAACCUUCAGUUUUAAAUAAGGCUUCUAAGGGACUUGGUGUCCUUUCAUCUUUGCUAAGGUCACACUUGACAUUAUCCAAGUGGAAUACAGUUCUCAGCUUAGUUUCUUGACAUUCAAUGCUACUGGCAAGAGAGCUAUUGGUAAUUCUGGCACCCAAACACUCAUUGAUGUUGUCUACUGGCAGUUCCUAUUGC